AUGCAUUUCCUAAUUGAUGACUGAUUCAUUUCCAGGCUCAGAGAAUGUUUUAUCCUUUGGGGGGAAUAGAGAGGAAAACAAUGAAAUUAAUAACUUCCUCACUUCUGGAGAAUCAAAGAAAUCAGCGGAAUGAUGGCAGCCUGUCAGUCCUGAUUGUCCUGACUCACCUGUACCAACAGCCCUUUCCAAACUGAAAUCUGACUAGCAGAAAAAGGGAUUAUGUUUAGAUGUAUACACGUAAGUUUGGGUACAGGCUGUGCUAUCAAGUCUGGCCCUACCUAGAGAAAGAGCAGUCCAGAGAUUCCAUUGGUGAGACUGGAAGGCACCAAGACAUCUGAGGUUCUGGUCAAGAUUCUGAGGAUAUGAAAAUAAAGACUGAAAUCAUCCUAUUCUCAAAGGAGAUCAUAUUCAAAUAGAAGAGGACAACAAAUAAACAUAUAUAAAUAUAUGUAGACCUAAUAUAGAGUAUAAAAUAAAUACAAGGUAUUUAUUUUAUUAUAUAAGGUUUGCAAGAUGCUUUACAAAUAUCUCAUUUAGACCUCAUAACAAUUCUGGGAGGAAAUUGGCAAGCAGAACCUUGAAAAGCACAGAGCUAGGGAUGGAGAGAAAUAAGCAGAAAUAGCUACUAGGAGUAAAAAUAAUAGUUGUUUCCACUGAUACUUCACUUUAAAAUGGAUAAAUAUUGCUUCUGUUGGUCCUUAUGGUAAUUAUGGGAGGUGAGUCUUUCCAGUGAACUACAGAUCUUAAAGGACCAAGCAAGGAUUUGAAUUUGAAUAUUUCCUCUGCUACUUAUUACCUGUGUGACCUUGAGCACAUUUGUCCUAUCCCUCUGGCUUCAGUUUUCUCGUCUUAAAAAUGAGAGAGUUAGAGAAGAUGAUCUCCAAGAGCUCUCACAGCUUUAAAUAUAUGGUUCUAUGAAACAUUUGUGUUAUGUCACAAACUGAUCAAAAUACUUCUGUGAAUGUGAUCUCUA